GUCUACACACCAUGCCACCCUGAACACGCCCAAUCCCGUUUGAUCUCGGAAGCUAAGCAGGGUCAGACCUGGUUAGUACUUGGAUGGGAGACCACCUAGGAAGACCGGGUGCUGUAGGCA
rnacentral:rRNA from 1 species